AAGUCGUAACAAGGUUUCCGUAGGUGAACCUGCGGAAGGAUCAUUAAAACAAUAAUGAAUGUCGGGGGAGGGCACUUCGGUGCUCUUACCCUUGUAUUCAACCAAACCCGCUCGUGUAUUUGGAUCAAAAAAACAAACAAAAUUUUUAACGAUACUAAUUUAAACAAACUUUCAACAACGGAUCUCUUGGCUCUC
rnacentral:misc_RNA from 1 species